rnacentral:lncRNA from 1 species
UAUAAUAAAAAUAAAUAAUAAAAAUUUAAAGAGCAUAAAAAUAAAUUGGUACUAACAUCUAUUAACUAGAUCCAAGCAUCUAUUUGCAAUAAAAAUAAAAAGAUAAAAAUUUAAAGUAUAAAAAAAUAAAUUUUACAUUAAUUAGAAUUAAAAUUUAAUUAUAAAAAAUUAAAAAAAUAAUAAAAUAAAAUAAAAUUAUAACAA